AGAAGACAAUCGCCAGACCCAGUCUCAGUGCUACGAGGUCACCGCGCUUCUGUUGCUGACAUUUGUUUUCAUCCUUCUAAAACCAUAUUGUUUUCUGGGUCAACUGAUGGAGAAUUGCGGAUUUGGGACACAGUACAGCAUCGUACAGUUUCUUCUUCUUGGGUGCAUAGUGCAGCACAUGGGGUUAUUUGUGUUGCAGCGAGUCCUGUUCUUGGGGAUAACAAAGUUAUCAGCCAGGGCAGGGAUGGUAGCGUCAAAUGUUGGGAGUUUGGAGAAGGAGGUUUGUCCAGGACACCAUUAUUUACAAUAAAGACAAACGCUUAUCAUUUCUGCAAACUAUCAAUUGCAAAGUCACCAAGUGAGACAUUGGAGACUGAUGAUCUGGAGAUAAACAAAAUUGUUGAUGACAUGCAAAGGGGAGAACAAGGAGAUCCACUCACUGAUUCCACCAUAUCCAAAGGUAAGGAGCUUAGUGAAGGACCAAAAUAUGUUGCUAUAGCAGGGGAACAAUCUUCUGUGGUUGAGAUUUGGGAUGUCAAUACUGCAGAAAGAAUUGCAGAGCUGCCUCAUAGCUCUGGUAGCCUCUCAAAUCAGACUCCGAACCAAAGAGGAAUGUGCAUGGCAGUUCAAGCGUUCUUACCUUCUGAAUCUCAGGGGCACCUAUG
rnacentral:misc_RNA from 1 species